CCUACGGGUGGCUGCAGUCGAGAAUCAUUCACAAUGGGGGAAACCCUGAUGGUGCGACGCCGCGUGGGGGAAUGAAGGUCUUCGGAUUGUAAACCCCUGUCAUGUGGGAGCAAAUUAAAAAGAUAGUACCACAAGAGGAAUAGACGGCUAACUCUGUGCCAGCAGCCGCGGUAAUACAGAGGUCUCAAGCGUUGUUCGGAAUCACUGGGCGUAAAGCGUGCGUAGGCUGUUUCGUAAGUCGUGUGUGAAAGGCGCGGGCUCAACCCGCGGAAGGCACAUGAUACUGCGAGACUAGAGUACUGGAGGGGGAACCGGAAUUCUCGGUGUAGCAGUGAAAUGCGUAGAUAUCGAGAGGAACACUCGUGGCGAAGGCGGGUUACUGGACAUUAACUGACGCUGAGGCACGAAGGCCAGGGGAGCGAAAGGGAUUAGAUACCCGUGUAGUC
rnacentral:rRNA from 1 species